AUGCUCACUUUGGCAACACAUAUACUAAAUUGGAACACAGAGAAGAUCAGUAUGGCCCCUGCACAGGGAUGACAUGCACAUUUGUAAAGCGUUCCACAUUUUU
ensembl:snRNA U6 U6 spliceosomal RNA